UACGGGGGGAGCAAGCGUUGUUCGGAUUUACUGGGCGUAAAGGGCUCGUAGGCGGCCAACUAAGUCAUACGUGAAAUCCCUCAGCUUAACUGGGGAACUGCGUGUGAUACUGGAUGGCUUGGAUUUGGGAGAGGGAUGCGGAAUUCCAGGUGUAGCGGUGAAAUGCGUAGAUAUCUGGAGGAACACCGGUGGCGAAGGCGGCAUCCUGGACCAAUAUUGACGCUGAGGAGCGAAAGCCAGGGGAGCAAACGGG
rnacentral:rRNA from 1 species